ACAAUUAGUGUCGAAACCAGCUCUGUUUUUAUCCAUUUUCAACCAGCAAUUGGGCAUCACAACAAACAUUUGUUAUAAAACGCUGUAGAUUUCUUCGCCACCCAUUUUUACAUAAAAAUAAAUGUAAAAGCCGUUGACGGGUGGAAGCCAGCCCCGCUUACACACGUUUUCUUCCUUUUUUUUUCAAAAAGUUUUAUGAAUUUAUAAGAUUCAUCAGAUGGCCAACCAAGCUCUUCACAUUUUACGAAACCAUAUAACAAAUAGCGUUCAAAGUCCAACAGCUUGACAACCAUUAAGGCUAAUUAUGGUUCCUUAAUCAUCUGCAUCGUUUUUAGCAGGAGAUCGGAUCCAAAGGACUUCCUAUCGGCUAACGCCUGUGUUCAGAAGGGCAAGAAAAGGAUAAAGAUGAGGGGACCAAAAUUUUGGAUUACUGUUAUUUGUGUAUGCAUAUGUUACUUUUGUUGUGGUUCUAGACGCCGCAGCCCUAGACAAAGGGAAGGAUUAUAUUAACAAAACAAUUUCACAAUCUUCAUGAUUUAUAAUUUGCUAUUGUCGCUGUGGCCACUGUUAAGUGUUCAGUUCAUACAUUUGCAUUCAUCAUUUGAGAUGGAAUUGAAAAUUUAAGAUGAUGUACUGUAUCCUUAAUAAAGAUUUAAGGCCAGUUCCAAUGGAAUUUGUAUUGGUUGAGCUCUGAUCCCAGGAAGGCUGUUCUACAUCAUGGCAGUUGUAACACAUUAUUGUCUUUGUAUAAAAUGUCCAAUGUAGUUUUCAGUUGUUUGUAAUAUGAACAUUAAUAUGUAGAUCUGUAAGAUUGAACAUAUACACAAGUUGUUUAUCAUAAAUUAUUCCAAAAAGUUAACAGUAA